GACGGAGGGUGCAAGCGUUAUUCGGAAUUAUUGGGCGUAAAGGGCGUGUAGGCGGUAGGUCAAGUCAGAUGUGAAAGCCCAGGGCUCAACCCUGGAAGUGCAUCUGAAACUGGCUUACUUGAGUUCGGGAGAGGGAAGCGGAAUUCCGGGUGUAGAGGUGAAAUUCGUAGAUAUCCGGAGGAACACCGGUGGCGAAGGCGGCUUCCUGGACCGAAACUGACGCUGAGACGCGAAAGCGUGGGGAGCAAACAGG
rnacentral:rRNA from 1 species